UACGUAGGGUCCAAGCGUUAUCCGGAAUCACUGGGCGUAAAGCGUGCGUAGGUGGCGCGUUAAGUGAGAUGUUAAAUCGUGUGGCUCAACCAUAUCGAUGCAUCUCAUACUGGCGUGCUAGAGGACAGCAGAGGCAAGUGGAAUUCCACGUGUAGCGGUGAAAUGCGUAGAGAUGUGGAGGAACACCAAUGGCGAAGGCAGCCUUCUGGGCCAACACUGACGCUCAUGCACGAAAGCGUGGGGAGCAAACAGG
rnacentral:rRNA from 1 species